CUCCAACUACAUCCACACGUCCAUCACUCUCUCCUGCUGUUCUCUCUGUUUUGUCAUGUGUUGGAUCAGUCUGUGUUGUGGUUCUACUGGUGUUACUGGUUCUGCUGGUGAGACGUUGGGUUCACAGGAAACCUGAAGAUCAAGAUGAAACCGCCAAAGAUGACAUCGCAUACAGUGAAAUCAAUUUAAUACAUAAUCAACAACAACCAACCAGCCAAAGCAGAGAGAGUGAUCCAGCUACAAUUUACUCAGAAGUCAGAACAGGCGAUGUCUGCAAUGAACAAAAAAACGCUAGACCAAAGAGGCCCAAAGAGACAGACGCCAUCUACUCUUUACUGAAGUCCAACUGACGUCCAGCUGCUGGUCUCUAACUGGUCCCCCCAGCACCUCAGACCAGAGGACAUAAACACAGAAUCAUCACGCUCUGGUGGUGUUCAGUAUGAUAGUGCAUACUGCAGCAGUGCACUAGAUUCUCUAAGUAGCUACAUAUCAUUCUUCCUGUUUUCUCAUAAUGAAUGACAAUAAGGAAUCCUCCAUCUGUCAUCUUUUUUUCUCGCUGAAUUAGACUCAUGAGGUUUAAAAAAUCACAUCCUAUUUUUAACUGGAGCUCUAAAAUUGUUAGAGGUUACACUGUUACCGCAUUGUUUUGUAACAGCUGUUACAAAAUCUACAUUAACAAAUAAUAUAAAUAUGUUCAUGUGAUUUCUAUCUUUCGUAACUUUACUGUUAUUUAUAAUGUAUUCAUGUUUCAUCUCCUG